rfam:Chlorocebus sabaeus isolate 1994-021 chromosome 10, whole genome shotgun sequence.
AUUCGGUUUUAUAAUUCAUGAGCAUGACGACUGGGUGCUCACGGGCACUUGUGAGAUGUACCACCCUCUGAACCUUGUUACAACAUCAGCACUUUACCCAUCUGACC